rnacentral:rRNA from 1 species
GAUGAACGCUGGCGGCGUGCUUAACACAUGCAAGUCGAACGGUGAAGCAGGAGCUUGCUCUUGUGGAUCAGUGGCGAACGGGUGAGUAACACGUGAGCAACCUGCCCCUGACUCUGGGAUAAGCGCUGGAAACGGCGUCUAAUACUGGAUAUGUGAUGUGACCGCAUGGUCUGCAUCUGGAAAGAAUUUCGGUUGGGGAUGGGCUCGCGGCCUAUCAGCUUGUUGGUGAGGUAAUGGCUCACCAAGGCGCCGACGGGUAGCCGGCCUGAGAGGGUGACCGGCCACACUGGGACUGAGACACGGCCCAGACUCCUACGGGAGGCAGCAGUGGGGAAUAUUGCACAAUGGGCGGAAGCCUGAUGCAGCAACGCCGCGCGAGGGAUGACGGCCUUCGGGUUGUAAACCUCUUUUAGCAGGGAAGAAGCGAAAGUGACGGUACCUGCAGAAAAAGCACCGGCUAACUACGUGCCAGCAGCCGCCGUAA